CUGAUUGCCAGUGGGGAAGGAUCUCUCUGGAGAUCUGCUCUGUUGGAGUUCAUCUCGUGAGCCCAGCAUAGGUGCACUCUAGCAAAAUGCAAGUUGGAGAGAAGCCUUCUAAUCACUCAGGUCCGAGUCCUCUUUUUGUUGGUGAAAAACAUUUACAUUCCAUAGCAGUUAACAGUGGUUGAUGGAAUUGCCUUUCACUUCUUCAUUGGUUCAGUUCCAUCUCCUCUGAGAGGAAAAUCAUCUCUUGACUGCUAAAGGCCUGAAGGCAAAAUUCUUUACUCUGGAGUUUUGAUAUCAGCUUGUCUUCUCCAGGGACAUUUGCCACGUGUCUCAGACACACACCCUUACACGCUCUUGGGUUCUUACUGAAGUAUUUAUGAUUAUACAAAAUCAUCUAUUAAAUAAAAAUAUGGUCUGAAGCUGACCACAAGAAAAA